AGGCUUUCAUGGGAAUGCUGCCGUUUAUCCUCCUGCCAAAGGAGUAAAAAAUGGGUUGCAGUUUAUAAUACAGCUUCUGUCUGCAUGGAAAAGAAUGAGGCUUUUGGUUUGCAGAACGGUGAAGUUAUCAAUUCACAGAAUCAUAAAGGUUGGAAAAGACCACUCAUUUAAUCCAACUGUCAACCCAUCACCACCAUGCCCACUAACCACAUCCCUAAGACAUCUCAGCAUCUCUCAGCUCCCUCACUGGUAUUCACAGGCAGAGAUCCCAAUUCUGCCCAAGUAACUGACAUUUUCUCAGCACAAAGAUCCCUUGACCACUAAUUCUCCGUUUUCUUCCAAGAGAAUGCUGCACAAAUUUUCUCCAGCCUGAUGUACCUGAGCACAGUAUUUCAGAAAAGCACACUUGUCUCACAUGCCAGCACUGUGUGGGUGCAACAUCACACUAUGGUGUGAAACAUUUUGAGACCAAGGAAAGUCUCUUCAACCUUCUUCCAUCUCGCUGGUGUGAUUCACAAGAGCACCAGGCAGUGUAACGCUGCAGUCGUACCUGUCCUCACCCACUCCUACUCUACCAUAUUGAGCUUGUCAGCAGGAGUUUCAUCACUGGCACUGAAGCCAGCGCUUAAUUUAUCAAACCAAUUGGUUUGUUUGUUGCUUUUGUUAACAAAAAAAAAAAAAAAAAAAAAAAAGUGGUGAGGGAGAAGAA